UUUAAUAGCACCUUGUGUUGUUGGUGAUAUCCCAAGGAACUACUGCAGCCACAACAAGUGAACCAGGCAGCCUGCUGCCUGCCAUCAGCACUGCUGUUUCACUGGAGACAUCAUUCCUAAAUAGAGACCCCAAAAGCAAGCUAAAUAGCCAAGGCUGCCUCACACAGGGAUUACCUCUAAAGAGUUGCUGAACAACAGCAGCUCUGCUCUGUUCUCAGCACCUGCAAAAGGCAUUAGCAGGCAUCACAACUAGCACAGCGAACAGGCACGGAGAGGUGCAGAACAACUGGCUGCUGCAGACAUGGAUUAUUAACAAACACAGGCUUUCCAAGGUUGCUGAGCACCCCUGGCAUAUUUUGAUAAGAGAGCAGAAAGGCAGCCACUUCUUUUCAUGAUUCCUUGCAGGGGAGCCAGCCUCAUGCUGGCACAGCCAUAGCAACCCAGACAACAACAGAGCAUCAAGGCAGAUGAAAUCACAGAGACAAAAAUGCAGAAACCACCCGAGUGAAGCAUUUUCAUUAGUGACUGCCCUGCACCAGAAAGCAGCACCUGAGCUCCUUCCCCUAGAAAUACUUAGUUGGAGCUGAGUGUGAAUCAGGACUUUGUGCCUUGAGUCCAUGCUACUUCUCACGUAACAUUAACUUGUAAGCCAAGUGUUGUGAUCACACAGGGAAGAGAAGACAAGACUCAACUUCCGGCUCUCAGGGUGACAACCACCACCUCCAAAUAGCUCUGGCACACAGCUAUUUAUUGUAAUGCACAUGGGGAGCUCCCCUUCACAAGAGGCCCUGGUAACUGGAAUGAUAACAAAAGCCCAUUAUGAGAAGGUGAAGACACUAGCUGCUAGCAGAUGCCAAGUUGCUAAUGUCCCCACGAAGAUGAAAUCAGAGCCAGGGCUUAACCAGCUAAUAGCCUCAGCAGAUGCCAUGGGCCUGGCUCUCUUGGAGCAACAGGAGGGGAAGAACCAGCAGCCACAGCUCUGCCUCAAUGACAGAAGCUUUUGUGUGGCAGCAAGGCUGUCCAGGCAGCUUUACAUCCACCCAGAGCCCUUUGGCAAAAUCAAAUGCACUUCAUAUACGACUUUGAGUAACCAAGAGUAUCAAGCAAGUGUUCCAGACCGGUUCUUCUAGAGCACCCAAGCCCUGGCCAUCCAUCUAUUACAUUUUUUCAAAGUUCUUCAGAUGGGAAUGGAAAGCUAGAUCCCAAGACUGUAAAAUAAACUUCCACCAGGAAAGGUGUUCUGUGAAUUGCUCUUUUAACAAACAGGGAAAGGAUUUAAAAGCCAAAGAGAAACACAACAGUGAAGACAGCCCUGACAGAAACCUGCCUGAUAAUUCCUGCCUGUAUUUCAACAUCCCCUCAGCCACAGCACAUAAUACAAGCAUUCUCUUAUGAGCAGACUCAGUCAAUAUUAA